UACGGAGGGGGCAAGCGUUGUUCGGAAUUACUGGGCGUAAAGGGCGCGCAGGCGGCUGCUCAAGUCAGGCGUGAAAGGCCUGGGCUCAACCCGGGAAUUGCGCUUGAGACUGGGCUGGCUUGAGUGCGGGAGAGGAUGGUGGAAUUCCCAGUGUAGAGGUGAAAUUCGUAGAUAUUCGGAAGAACACCAGUGGCGAAGGCGACUCACUGGACAUGUAUUGACGCUGAGGUGCGAAAGCGUGGGGAGCAAACAGG
rnacentral:rRNA from 1 species